GAUGAACGCUAGCGGCAGGCCUAAUACAUGCAAGUCGAGGGGUAACAGGGAAGCUUGCUUCCGCUGACGACCGGCGAACGGGUGAGUAACGCGUAUGCAAUCUGCCUUACAGUUGGGGAUAGCCUGGAGAAAUUCAGAUUAAUACCCUAUAUGACCACACUGAUGCAUGUCAGAGUGGUGAAACCUCCGGGGCUGUAAGAUGAGCAUGCGUGACAUUAGCUAGAUGGUAAGGUAACAGCUUACCAUGGCGACGAUGUCUAGCUGGUCUGAGAGGAUGAUCAGCCACACUGGAACUGAGACACGGUCCAG
rnacentral:rRNA from 1 species